rnacentral:rRNA from 1 species
GACGAACGCUGGCGGCGUGCUUAACACAUGCAAGUCGAACGGAAAGGCCCCUUUGGGGGUCCUCGAGUGGCGAACGGGUGAGUAACACGUGCGUAACCUGCCCUGAACUCCGGGAUAACUUCAGUAAACUGGGGCUAAUACCGGAUAGGAAUCCUUGCUGCAUGGUGGGGGUUGGAAAGUUUCGGCGGUUUUGGAUGGACUCGCGGCUUAUCAGCUUGUUGGUGGGGUAGUGGCUUACCAAGGCUUUGACGGGUAGCCGGCCUGAGAGGGCGACCGGCCACAUUGGGACUGAGAUACGGCCCAGACUCCUACGGGAGGCAGCAGUGGGGAAUAUUGCACAAUGGGCGGAAGCCUGAUGCAGCAACGCCGCGUGCGGGAUGACGGCCUUCGGGUUGUAAACCGCUUUCAGCAGGGGCGAAGCUUGUGGUGACGGUACCUGCAGAAGAAGCACCGGCUAACUACGUG